rnacentral:rRNA from 1 species
GACGAACGCUGGCGGCGUGCUUAACACAUGCAAGUCGAACGGAAAGGCCCUGCUUUUGUGGGGUGCUCGAGUGGCGAACGGGUGAGUAACACGUGAGUAACCUGCCCUUGACUUUGGGAUAACUUCAGGAAACUGGGGCUAAUACCGGAUAGGAGCUCCUGCUGCAUGGUGGGGGUUGGAAAGUUUCGGCGGUUGGGGAUGGACUCGCGGCUUAUCAGCUUGUUGGUGGGGUAGUGGCUUACCAAGGCUUUGACGGGUAGCCGGCCUGAGAGGGUGACCGGCCACAUUGGGACUGAGAUACGGCCCAGACUGCUACGGGAGGCAGCAGGGGGGAGUAUUGCACAAUGGGCGGAAGCCUGAUGAAGCAACGCCGCGUGCGGGAUGACGGCCUUCGGGUUGUAAACCGCUUUCGCCUGUGACGAAGCGGGAGUGACGGUAAUGGGUAAAGAAGCACCGGCUAACUACGUG